rnacentral:rRNA from 1 species
AUGCAAGACUAUUUCGCGGAGAAUCCUACAUAUCAUCCGCACCUCUUCCGGAGAAGGUACCGAAUGCGCCGAUCCCUCUUUGUAAAAAUUGUUGAAGCUUGCGAGGCAAAUUUCCGGUAUACUCAAAGAAGAAAUGUCGCGGGCUUAAAGGGAUUUAGUGCAUAUCAAAAAAUCUCCGCAGCUAUGCAGGUGAUUGCAUAUGGCGUU